UACGGGGGGGGUAAGCGUUGUUCGGAAUUACUGGGCGUAAAGGGCUCGUAGGCGGCCAACUAAGUCAGACGUGAAAUCCCUCAGCUUAACUGGGGAACUGCGUCUGAUACUGGAUGGCUUGGAUCCGGGAGAGGGAUGCGGAAUUCCAGGUGUAGCGGUGAAAUGCGUAGAUAUCAGGAGGAACACCGAUGGCGAAGGCAGGUCUCUGGGCUGACACUGACGCUCAUGCACGAAAGCGUGGGGAGCAAACAGG
rnacentral:rRNA from 1 species